AAACUUUUAACCUGGCUCCAGACCAACGCCUGCCGCCUGCUUUACACCUUCCAGUCCAGCCAAUAAAUCCCUUCCGGGAUAGAUUAACGGCCGAACGGUGAAUUACCCCUGGGCCACCUGCCUCCAAAUGGGGGAAUACCCUCCCAAAGGGAAAAUAAUACCCCAUAACCUUUAUUUUUCACCUGAAUUACUAAUUUAAGGAAUAAUCCCCUUUUAAAAGGGCCCCCCGCCCAUUAACUUAUUGGUGAAGUAACGGCUCCCCCAGGGCCCCAUGCCUAACCCAACUGAAAAGGUGAUCCGCCCCCUUGGAACUGAAACCCCGGCCCGACUCCUACCGGAAGCAGCCGUGGGGAAUAUUGCACCAUGGGCCAAAGCCUGAUGCCGCCACCCCCCCUGAAUGAUGAAAGGCUUCCGGUUGGAAAGCUCUGGCCUUGGGGACCAAUAUGACCGGACCCCAGGAAGAAGCCCCCGCUUACUACCUGCCCACCGCCCCCGUAAUACCUAAGUGGCCAGCCUUGUCCGGAUUUACUGGGCGUUAAGGAAGCCUAAGGCGAUGGUUAAAUUAAAAGUUAAAAUCCCCAACUUAACUUGGGAACUGGCUUUUAAACUGGAUUUCUAAA
rnacentral:rRNA from 1 species